rnacentral:rRNA from 1 species
AGACCCGAAACCCGGUGAUCUAGCCAUGGGCAGGUUGAAGGUUGGGUAACACUAACUGGAGGACCGAACCGACUAAUGUUGAAAAAUUAGCGGAUGACCUGUGGCUGGGGGUGAAAGGCCAAUCAAACCGGGAGAUAGCUGGUUCUCCCCGAAAGCUAUUUAGGUAGCGCCUCGUGAAUUCAUCUCCGGGGGUAGAGCACUGUUUCGGCUAGGGGGCCAUCCCGGCUUACCAACCCGAUGCAAACUGCGAAUACCGGAGAAUGUUAUCACGGGAGACACACGGCGGGUGCUAACGUCCGUCGUGAAGAGGGAAACAACCCAGACCGCCAGCUAAGGUCCCAAAGUCAUGGUUAAGUGGGAAACGAUGUGGGAAGGCCCAGACAGCCAGGAUGUUGGCUUAGAAGCAGCCAUCAUUUAAAGAAAGCGUAAUAGCUCACUGGUCGAGUCGGCCUGCGCGGAAGAUGUAACGGGGCUAAACCAUGCACCGAAGCUGCGGCAGCGAACGUAUCACUUAAAGCGAUUCAGCGGGUUACGAUUGACGGAGCGAAGCGACGUCAAAGCGUAUACAAAGUCGAGUCGGUUUAAGGAUACGUUCGUUGGGUAGGGGAGCGUUCUGUAAGCCCGUGAAGGUGGCCUGUGAGGG